rnacentral:rRNA from 1 species
GAAUCGCUAGUAAUCGUGGAUCAGAAUGCCACGGUGAAUACGUUCCCGGGCCUUGUACACACCGCCCGUCACACCAUGGGAGUGGGCUGCAAAAGAAGUAGGUAGUUUAACCUUCGGGAGGACGCUUACCACUUUGUGGUUCAUGACUGGGGUGAAGUCGUAACAAGGUAGCGCUAGGGGAACCUGGCGCUGGAUCACCUCCUUAAACGAUGAU